GAAGAAGGAGGAGGAGGAGUAGGAGGCGCCCGCGGCCGCCGCUGCCUCGGUCACCUCUAGCGCCGGCGCCGCCGCCGCGCCAACUCUCGCGAUACUUCCUGCGGCCGCCGCUCGCGCCGCUCCCGCUCGCCUCGUGUCGCGCGCGCUCCCGCUCUGCCCUCGCGCGGCCCGGCCGCGAGCCCACGCCCCUUACGCCCCUCUCCCGUUCCCGGCAACCAGAGCGCGGCGGCGGCGGCGAAAGCCCGCCCCCCCUCCGCUUCCUUCCUUUCCUUCCGCCCGCGCCACCGCCUCGGUCACCGCCCCGGCGCCGGAACCGCCGCACGCGUCAUCACCCUCAGCCCUCACCCCUCAGCAUUCAGCCUGACCCGCCUCGCAAGGUUCCUGUGAGCGUCUCAAGUGGUGUGGCCUUGAGAGUAAAGAAAAUGAAGACAAUCCAGACAGACUGAGAAUUCAAGAACAGUGGUGCUGGCUGGGGAGCAGUGCCUGGAGUCACAGCAGAAGGUCCAUGGGGUUAUUCCUAAAGAACAGAAUGGCCUUUCUGAAACACAAGAUGCAUUGCCCUGGCAGUUUCCUCAGUGGAGGUUGCCUUCAGGUAUUUUAGGCUUAGACAAGUCAUUUGAUUUAUUUCAGGCAUGUUUAAAAGUUUGCUCUCAGGAAUCAAGUGAAGUAUUUUUUUAAUUUAUUUUUUCAGAUUUCCAGAAAACUGAAAAUUGAUCUGUUCUUGCUACUUCCAUUAGGAAUAAAACAGGGUUAAAGCAAAAAUGCCCAGCUGAGGAGAGAAACAGAGUAGAAAAGGGAACCUUAAGGACAAAGCAAGGAGCUGCAAGACAGAACACGACCUCCAGUUGUGUGGGUUGACAUCCAGACACUGGGGAGCUAAAUUCAUGAAAAUAAAUCCUAGUAUUCCCCACUGUGGAGCUACAUCGCUUUGCGCUCAGUAAGGAUCCAACCUUAUACUUGUUGGGGUUUUUUUGAAGCCUCUCACUGAGUGUUCUAGAAAAAUCAUUUCAAUUUUAUUCCAUGUCCGGGGGCUCUGUGCAAACUGCACAAUUCUUCCUGUGUCUGAUCUCCUAAGUUACUGACUAAUCAAUAGGACAUUUUAAGAGAGGAGAGUGGGGCUUAAUUAAGAGAUUACUCUUGGGAGGAUGUCAGUACAAAGGAGGAAUUGCAAAAAUUCUGAAAUGACAGCCCUUGCACAUCUACCCAUGUGUUUGGCUGUUUUUAUGGACCCUGGUGAGCAGCAGCACCCACAGAAAACCAGAACAGGACCUAACAAAUCAGAUUCUCAGAUCAGCCCUAGAUGUCUAGAUGAGCCAUCUCAUCUUCUUAAAGUGAAUUAAAAUUAAAAUUCUCUAAUUUCAAGUGGACAAAGUCCUGUCUGGGUGAGUUGUUACUGUACAAUACCAACCUGCUU